rnacentral:rRNA from 1 species
GACGAACGCUGGCGGCGUGCUUAACACAUGCAAGUCGAGCGGUAAGGCCCUUUCGGGGAUACACGAGCGGCGAACGGGUGAGUAACACGUGGGUGACCUGCCCUCAGCUCUGGGAUAAGCCUGGGAAACCGGGUCUAAUACUGGAUAUGACUCCAUGACGCAUGUUGUGGGGUGGAAAGCCUUGUGCGGCUGAGGAUGGGCCCGCGGCCUAUCAGCUUGUUGGUGGGGNGAUGGCCUACCAAGGCGACGACGGGUAGCCGGCCUGAGAGGGCGACCGGCCACACUGGGACUGAGACACGGCCCAGACUCCUACGGGAGGCAGCAGUGGGGAAUCUUGCGCAAUGGGCGAAAGCCUGACGCAGCGACGCCGCGUGAGGGAUGACGGCCUGGUGUAACGU